AGAAGUCGUAACAAGGUUUCCGUAGGUGAACCUGCGGAAGGAUCAUUGUCGAGACCCGAACGAACGGACGAUCGCGAACGUGUCAUACCACAUAACUCCUCCUCCCGUUCGUCCCGUCGCCCGCUCUCUCCUCGAGUGCGCGGCGCGGCGCGGCGACGCGGAGGGAACGAAACCCCGGCGCAGUGGGCGCCAAGGAACACUUUUUGGAAGCGCCGUCGCGGCCUCCCCCUCCUCCUUUAUUUAGGGGACGGAAGGGGGGAACGCGGGCGUGGAUAUAGAUAUCGUAUUUUGUACGACUCUCGGCAACGGAUAUCUAGGCUCUCGCAUCGAUG
rnacentral:rRNA from 1 species